GGAAAUAUGUCACAAGGUAGCCGUUGUUUUUUUCCUCGGGCCCCCCCCGGUUUUCUUCUGCCUGCCGGCGAGUGGCGAACGGGUGAGUAAUGCAUCGGAACGUGCCCAGUCAUGGGGGAUAACUACGCGAAAGCGUAGCUAAUACCGCAUACGCCCUGAGGGGGAAAGUGGGGGAUCUUCGGACCUCACGUGAUUGGAGCGGCCGAUGUCAGAUUAGCUAGUUGGUGAGGUAAAGGCUCACCAAGGCGACGAUCUGUAGCGGGUCUGAGAGGAUGAUCCGCCACACUGGGACUGAGACACGGCCCAGACUCCUACGGGAGGCAGCAGUGGGGAAUUUUGGACAAUGGGCGCAAGCCUGAUCCAGCCGUGCCGCGUGAGUGAAGAAGGCCUUCGGGUUGUAAAGCUCUUUCGCAAGGGAAGAAAACGUGUGGGCUAAUAUCCUGCGCGGAUGACGGUACCUUGACAAGAAGCACCGGCUAACUACGUGCCAGCAGCCGCGGUAAUACGUAGGGUGCGAGCGUUAAUCGGAAUUACUGGGCGUAAAGCGUGCGCAGGCGGUUGUGUAAGACAGGUGUGAAAUCCCCGGGCUUAACCUGGGAACUGCGCUUGUGACUGCAGGGCUAGAGUACGGCAGAGGGGGGUGGAAUUCCUGGUGUAGCAGUGAAAUGCGUAAAUAUCAGAAGGAACACCGAU
rnacentral:rRNA from 1 species